GUAGGUGGCAAGCGUUGUCCGGAAUUAUUGGGCGUAAAGCGCGCGCAGGUGUUUCUUUAAGUCUGAUGUGAAAGCCCCCGGCUCAACCGGGGAGGGUCAUUGGAAACUGGGGAACUUGGAGUGCAGGAGAGGAAAGUGGAAUUCCACGUGUAGCGGUGAAAUGCGUAGAUAUGUGGAGGAACACCAGUGGCGAAGGCGACUUUCUGGCCUGUAACUGACACUGAGGCGCGAAAGCGUGGGGAGCAAACAGGGAUUAGAUACCCUGGUAGUCCACGCCGUAAACGAUGAGUGCUAAGUGUUGGGGGGGGUUUCCCGCCCCGUCAGUGCUGCAGCUAACGCAUUAAGCACUCCGCCUGGGGAUACGGUCGCAAGACUG
rnacentral:rRNA from 1 species